rnacentral:lncRNA from 1 species
UCGAGAGCUCCGGGCUCUAGAUAGAUAGCCGAUCAGGAUACUUUCCGACUCAAGGUGUCGGAUCGAGGCCACUCACAAGUGGCUAGAAUGAUGAAAACGAAAUAUCUCAGGGAUGUGAAUGAUGCAAAUGACUCCGGGUCGUGAGCUCAGGGCUCGGGGUGCUAUGAAUGACUCUGGGUCAAGAUGGAAAAUGACUCUGGGUCGAUGAAU